GAGAGGUGAGUUUGUUUUAAUUGUAUUUGCAAUGAUUAAGAGGAAGAAAGUCCAAAUCAGUGAUAUAUACACUUGAUACUUUCAAAGGGCCAGUUUCAAAAAGCUGAAAACAAAUAUGAGCCAGAUCAGGCAAGAUCAGACAGAAUUUAAUUAAAAACAUAUGAAUAAUAAUCAUACAUUGUUUAAGAACACUUUAGUAAGUAUUCAGAAAUCCACACUCUCACAUCUCUGGAAGGCCACAGUGGUUGAAACCACAAACUGACUUUGAUAGGAAGUGAAAGCAGCUCCACACACAUAUAUGCAAAAGUUCUUUCAUACGUGUAUGCACAUAUGAGCAAACUGGACAAAAUGUAAAAAAGAAGAUAUUACUAAUAACAAUAAUUCACUGAAUAUUAAUGCUCUAGAAUUAUACAACUGUUAAGACAGGCACAGGUAGAAUUCUUGACCAUCAAACUUAAGUAAAUUAAACUUCUGAAAGUUUGCAUAUUUAUUUUAUUGAAGACAUAAUUUCUCUUUUUCUUUUUUAGGCAGAAGGAUUAAAAAGACAAGGAAGUGGAAAGGCAACUAUAUUUUGCUUUUCACGCAUUUUCCAACUGGAAACUUCAGAAGAUGAUAAACAGCAGCUACUUACGUCAGAAUUUUUUGUGUCAGCAAGUACUGAUAAUUUGUCUACAUUAAGCUGAAGCACUGCAAAAGGAACCCUUAGGAUCCUUGGUGGUGGUUUUCAUUGACUUUAAGAUAACCGAAGAAGUUCUGGAGACUAAAAUCAAACUAACAUUUUGUUAAAAUUUCAGCUAACUUUCAUGAGUAACAAGGAGUCUCUUAGGCUGACAUUAACCCUGGGGCAAAAGAACAGAUGAUGGUUAUUUGUUUAAUAUAAAAUUAGAAGAAAAUGACCAGAAAGAAGUAAAAAAAGCCUAAAUCCUACCUGAACAGUUAAAAAUCAAACCCAAGUUGAAUGUUAGCAGUAAGAUUGCUGCUAUAAUGGACUUUGAUGAAGUAUAUAAUUUGGAACUACUCAACAUUUCAGCGAAGAAGUUACAGUGAUUAACAAAAUCAGCAACUUGUCAUCAAAUGAGUGGGUUAGAACAUGGUUAAGACACAGGGAGGUGUAACAAAAUGAAUAUGUGUUAAUGGGUCAUGCAGGGAUCAGAUUUGCUCUUACACUGUAUAACACCUUUGUCAAUGAUCUGAAAGAACUCACAAAAAUCUUAACUAAGAAAGACAGCAGAUUAUUUUCAUCAAAUAUUGGUGGACCCACAACCUGCAUGGAAAAGAUGUCCAGCAUUGCAGUUCUUCACAUAAAGGGGCAUAAACAGACAAAAUACAUAUCCAUCAGCCAUAUUGGUUAGUUUUUUAAACAUGAGCCCCUACCUUAGUCAGAAGUUCUCAGAUGAUUUUUACUUCGGGUUGAAUCCCUGUUCAGGAGAAGCAAGCAAAAGAGUAAGAGAACAAAUUAAAUGCUUUGACAGAGAAACAAUGAAGAACAUCUACAAAUAUGGGUCCCAUCUGCUGAUUAGGCUCAUCAUCAUCAUAAAACUAGAACAGCUCCAGUUAUCCCAUAUUUACUGUAUGAACUAGUUUAGAUCAGUCACUGAGGAACUGCCUAUCACAGCUGAAAGGUCCUAUUCUUAAAAAUAGGAUGUGCUUUAAGAAUUUUACUUGCAAUUGAGACCAAAGCUGCAUUAAAUUCUGUGGAAAGUGAUCUCAUCUCCAAAUCAAUAUUAAUGCACAGGACAGCAAGCUUCUUAACUGUUUUAUAGAACCAGCCAUUACAUGUUACAUUAAUAAUCAUCAUUAUAUUAUUAUGUUUUCUUCUAGUUGAUGUAGUUAAAAAUCCCAUGCAGGCCUACGGGCAACACACUGUAAAUGUACAAAAAGAAAAAAAUUAUCACUAUUCUCUAGUAAGAUAAAAAUUGGCAGCACAUAAGGGAUGGUUCUCAUUUCUGUACAACUCUGAAAGUAGUAAGAAGGUCAUGAUCAGUAGAAGUACGUCAGGAGCUCAUAAAGAUCAAAAGACAACCAUACCUCUGUCAAAUAUUUUUUCAGUGUCGCAUCUGAUUUUAGAAGAGAUGCAUGCAGUGUUCUAAUGUGGGAUAUCAGCAGAAAGAGUUCGUAGCUGGUAAUAACUCCUGUGUGCACACACAUAUUCCUUCUUCAGAAGAAGUACUUUAAAAGGCACUAAAGCAAAUCAAGGGCUUUGAGAUGUUUUGUGUCAGCUGCAUGCCAGUUUAUCUUGCAACAAGGGACUGGGUGAACCACUUGAGCUGUUUUUGAUCCUUCCACAAUUCUGCUUGUAAUGUCUCCAGAUAAUUUGGUACUAAGAAAAUGUCACAUCAGACACAGAUACAUAGAGCACACACUUUCACAACCGUCUAACCAUAGGUGGAUUGACUAUGUAACUACUUGUAUGGUUAUAAUCACCAGACUAUCGAGCACCUCAGGUACUCAAUGCUGUUGAUUCCCACAGCCUGCCCUAUGAGGUAGGAAAGCUUUACUAGCAUGUGCUCAGACACAGCGUUGUGUUAUUUGAUAAAACAAAUUACUGUCUCAAGGUCACACAGGAAUUCUACAAAGAAGCCACAGAUUUGCUCCAGACACUAACUACACAAAGAUGUCUCUCAGAAAGAUAGUCUAUACUAGCAGAAACUGAACUAGAUCUAGUCAUUUAACAAAGUUAGCAAUUUUAGGUAGAAAUUCUGUUUUUCUAAAUUAAAACAUCCUAACAUGCAACAGAGCAUAGAGUAGAGAUCACACUUCUGAAUUAGCUCUGUGUAAAUAUAUGACUAAUUCAUUCAAGAAUUUUAUAAAUUCAAUCCAAACAUUUUCCUAGCCGCAUCUUCAAAUCAUGCCUUACAAUUUCAGCUUACCAAAAUAAUUUCAAGAGAAUGGGGUGAAUAAGCAGGAGAGAUUCAGCUGCAGCUAUUUCCAUGUUGUCAGGACCCUGUAGCUUGUUUCAGGUCUGGAUUUGGCUCAGAGGUUCCUCAUGUCCUUAUUACCUGGCCAGCAAUAGCUUUUUCUGUUCCAUCUCUAUGCUGGGCAGAAUGGGUACAUGGGAGAGAAAACAAAGGGAUUUCUGGAAUGACUAAGCCUGCAACAAAGAUUUAAAAAAGAAAUAAUAUACCUGCUAUUGCGCUAACUGAUGUCUUUGGGCUUAGCAGCGCCUCUUUGAAUUUUGAAUGUGUUACACAUGAUAGGUAUCUUUAACUGCUGGCUUAUCUCUCACAGUGAAUAUUUUUCUAAUAUGCUUGACCAUAUCUGAUAUUUCAGUACAGUAGUUCAUGUAAGUUGGCCUUAGAGAAGCUACAGGUUAAAAAUUAUUUGGUUUUCUAACACAGACUUUCAGUGGUCUUUUCUGGGCUCAUUUCUGUGUGCCUUGUGAGUUGGUGAUAUCUCAUGGUUUUGCUUUUCCUGUGUUUGUAUUUCGAAAAAAGUGCUUCAGGUUUCAAGGCAAUAAUGCAUGGGAUGACUUACUUUACAAUAACUGCUAAGAGCCUUGGUUGUUGCCCCAAAAAGUUAUGCUAAAAUGCACUAAAUUUGUAUAGUACCAGCGUCGGCUGUAAAAAGAGUAAGUGUUACCUUUUCCUAGUUUCCUUAACUCAGAAGCCUUAAUUCACUUUUUUGUCUAACUAGUCAGAUUUAGUUCACAAUCUUCUGGCUUUUUAUUUACAGUCAUUGUCACAGGAAAAUCAAAAUUUCUCAUUAGUUAGGAUAUUAAGAUGAUAGUACUAAUGAAUUACAAUGUUCCAAUCACAAAUAAAUUCUAGGAAGACAUGGGAAAAAAGAAUCCUUUAACUUAGAUGUCAGGACUUUUAAAAGUAAAGGUUACUUAAAACUAAAUUCUUUUUUGCCUCAAAAGUAACAGCUUUUGCUUUUAUAUUUAUAGUUUCUUAUUUCUAAAGUGUUUUUAUUUCAUUCACGCUCUUUUGCUUUGUACUGUAGUAAAAAGUACAUGUUUUUCCAUACACUGAAACACUGUUUUUAAAUAUAUUACACUGCUUAAAUCCUCAGAGGCUUCACAGCUUUUGCUGUACCGACAUAUGCAGGCUUGAAACACUAAAAAUAAAAGGAAUUUCAAUUAAAGUGGGAGAGUUUUGAAAGUUUUAUAAUUUAUGAUUGCCUGGAUGCAUUUUCAGUAUCAAAACUGCCUUCAGAAUAUCUUACUUUCUAGGAAAGUCAUAACGCACUGCUUCACAUUGAGUUUGUUCUCAAAACGAAGCUCAUUUGCAUUUUGCACCACAGGGAGUUACUUGUAAACUUCCACACAGCAAGGUGUGAACAGAGUAGUGAUAACAAACCAUGAAUUAUACAAAGAUGUAAUUCAAUUCAUAGAAUCACCUCAAAGCCUAAGCACUUAUCAGGUUCUUAUAUUUGCACAAAACUUCCUGGAUCAUUAAAAAAUAGGCUAUGCAAUUCAUUUGUUUUAUCAACACCUUUGAAUUUCAGAGAUGGGUUGAAGUAGCAUGAAAACUAACUAGCCUUUGCCUGUGAAGAUGUGGUAAGGGAGAGGGCUAGGAGACCUCACAUUCAGUCAGACUUCAAAGUGUCGAUCUCCUCUCUCUGGCGACCAGCGAUAGGACACAAGGAAAUGGAAUGAAGUUGCAUCAGGGGAAGAUCAUAUUGGACAAGGUUCUUCACUGAGAAGUUGCUUGGUCACUGGAAGAGGUUCCUCAGCCCUGACAACCUCCAUUCCCUUCCAUUAUGACUGUAAUUUCUUGCUGUAACUGAAAUGUAAGACACAAGUGAGAGGAGAUGACUACCAUUCUCAUAUCUUUCUUCAGAUGCAGGGUACGCACAGUGGCCCAGCUUCAGCUGGAGGCUGAGAACACUUUUGUCCAGGGAAUUGCACAGCCAGCUGAUGGCAGUACUCACCUGACAAGAACUUCAAACCUACUCAAGUUGAAGAGGACAUGGAUGUCAAAUGACCCACUUCCAUAGCAAAGACAUUGACCAUUAGACUAAUAAGCAAAAGGCCACAUCCUGAUAUUUCUUAAAAUGAAGACAUUCUAGGAGUACUUUCAGGUUCAACAUCAUAAGUUCAGAGAUACCUGAAGUGAGUACCCUUCCCUUUGACAAUUUCUGUUGGCUGGUUGAUUUGUUCUGGCACUCAACACAAAGUCUGUUGUGAGUUCCUAUGUGGAGCUUUGCUUUCUUUAACUUACUUGUACAGACCCAAUGUGACCAUGUUAACCCUACGAGUUCAGAGCUGGGCACAUAGGUCAUAGGCACCAUAAUACCCCAUAAACCAUUACACUAAAUGCUUAAAUCUUUGUAGUAAAAAUGAAGGAAUAUAGUUGCUCAGAUUAAGGUUCAAUUCAUCUUGCUACCAACUUUCAGAAGCAUUUCCCUAUUUUACCCCAUUCUUGCAUGGUAAAUGAGAUUUACAAGUCCUGCCUAUUCUGCAGCAUGUUCUGUUCCGAUUGACAAUAGCGGAUAGAUACAAAAAAAUGUAUGCCAGUCUGCCUAUCUCAUACUUCCUUUGUUGUCACAAAUACCAUACUUUGUGCAUAAUUUCCAAUUGACUCACCAUGAAACAGUUUAGAAAUAAGAAUGUUGCCAAUUUUAAUGUUAUUUGCAUGUGACAUAAGAUUUUUUUUGAGUUUUGGUUUUAUUAAUAAAAUAUUCAAUGCAG